AAAGAAGUGGUGUGCAUAUAAAGAAGUGCAGAUAUUUAGAGAACAGUGGAUGUGUGGGAAUGUGUGUGAACAUGUGCAAGAUUCCAACACAAGAUUUCUUUACAAAUGAAUUUGGGCUUCCACUGACAAUGAAUCCAACUUUGGAUCAGAGGCCUCAAUCGAGUCUUCAGGGUUCCUGUGCUUGCCAAACAACAGUUUUCUUAAGCUCGCCCAUAUGAGAAUUAUAGGUGGUCACCUUGAAAAGGUAGAGAGCAAAUAGCUUAAAUAGAAAAUUUGAUUGAAUUAUAAUUUCAUUUAACAUGUCAUUUGCCGACAUGUCAUUUCGAUUAAGAGAACUGAAAAGAAGUAUUUCUUAUUACUUCUUAAAACUGCUUUUUAGUAAAAAAAAAAUAUUUUUGUUCUACAAAGCUGUUUUAUGAAGCAGUGCGAAAGUCGUCACAAACAAUACCCUAUUCAUAAAUCAUGCAAAAUAAAUUGCUAAAUGAGGUUAUGUGUACUCUAAGCUCAUCAUAAAGCUACUAUACCAUUUUGAAGCUAAAAUCUGGUUCCAUUUGUUUUAAGGGUAACAUUUAUCCAAUUUUUUUGUAAGUUAGAUUAAGGAUCAUUUGAUUCGUUAAAUGUGAUGAACAAAGCUAUUUUUUGAUCAAUUUUUUGAAAAAUUA